rnacentral:rRNA from 1 species
UGCCAGCCGCCGCGGUAAUACGGAGGGUGCAAGCGUUACUCGGAAUUACUGGGCGUAAAGCGUGUGUAGGCGGUCUGCUAAGUCGGAUGUGAAAGCCCCGGGCUUAACCUGGGAAUUGCAUUCGAUACUGGUAGACUUGAAUUUGGUAGAGGAAAGUGGAAUUCCGGGUGUAGCGGUGAAAUGCGUAGAUAUCCGGAGGAACAUCAGUGGCGAAGGCGGCUUUCUGGCCAAAGACUGACGCUCAUGUGCGAAAGUGUGGGUAGCGAACAGGAUUAGAUA